rnacentral:rRNA from 1 species
AUUGAACGCUGGCGGCAGGCCUAACACAUGCAAGUCGAGCGGAUGAAGGGAGCUUGCUCCUGGAUUCAGCGGCGGACGGGUGAGUAAUGCCUAGGAAUCUGCCUGGUAGUGUGGGAUAACGUCCGGAAACGGGCGCUAAUACCGCAUACGUCCUGAGGGAGAAAGUGGGGGAGCUUCGGACCUCACGCUAUCAGAUGAGCCUAGGUCGGAUUAGCUAGUUGGUGGGGUAAAGGCCUACCAAGGCGACGAUCCGUAACUGGUCUGAGAGGAUGAUCAGUCACACUGGAACUGAGACACGGUCCAGACUCCUACGGGAGGCAGCAGUGGGGACUAUUGGACACUGGGCGAAAGCCUGAUCCUGCCAUGCCGCGUGUGUGAAGAAGGUCUUCGGGUUGUAAAGCACUUUAAGUUGGGAGGAAGGGCAGUAAGUUAAUACCUUGCUGUUUUGACGUUACCAACAGAAUAAGCACCGGCUAACUUCGUG